UACGAAGGGGGCUAGCGUUGCUCGGAAUUACUGGGCGUAAAGCGCACGUAGGCGGAUAUUUAAGUCAGGGGUGAAAUCCCAGAGCUCAACUCUGGAACUGCCUUUGAUACUGGGUAUCUCGAGUAUGGAAGAGGUGAGUGGAAUUCCGAGUGUAGAGGUGAAAUUCGUAGAUAUUCGGAGGAACACCAGUGGCGAAGGCGGCUCACUGGCCCAUUACUGACGCUGAGGUGCGAAAGCGUGGGGAGCAAACAGG
rnacentral:rRNA from 1 species